GGGUGAUCAGAGUUCUGCUGUGAAAGGUGCUGGAGAUCAGAGGCUUUGAAGACAUACAGCAGGUGGCUUGCAAGCCAGAGUGGAAGGAAUCAAAGAAACAGGCCUUCUGCUCUAUUCCAGAAGAGCAGCAGGUUUGACUGAAGCCUCAGCACCACUGGGACCUUAGAGGCCUCUCUCUCUGUAAGAGGAGCACAGGACCACUCAACUCAUCAUACCAGACAUGCAGAAUCAGGAGCACAGUCUGGUACCAUCCAUCUUGUCACAUUCCAUGUUGGGGUCCAACACCAAGGCCUUCUGUUGUCAGUAACAAGGAUUCAUCCUGCUGUGACUAUGUGGUGUGGCAGGGAAUCUCUGUUACUGGGGGCAGGGUGCCACCUUGGACAUGGCCACUGCACAGAUAGGAGACAUACAGGGUACUGGAGAUGCUCACAAAGCAUGGCCAUCCAGUAUCCGGAGCAUCUGCUAGGCUUUGAAUCAUCCUGAAAGCUCAGGCAUUGCAGUGUGUAGACUGUACCUCCUGUACAUUUAAUCACUUUUCCCGGGCACUUGCUGAGUGUUGUACUGCUAUGCAUUAUAACUGGUCCUUUUGAUAUGUUUCCUCUGCUGUAUUUCCAUUUGCCCUUUGCUUGUUGACUUUUGUUCAUACUGUAGCCCACACUGAAACUGCAAUCUGUAUUGUCUGACAUUAUUGUACAAUGGAAACUGCUGCAGUUUUAUUGAACGUAGUCCAAUACAUCAGAAAAACAAA